rnacentral:lncRNA from 1 species
AGGGCAGACUGGGGGUUGAGGAGGCAGAAGGGGGAAAUCAGGUCCUUGGACCACUAGCCAGUGGACGGAUUCAGGUCCAGGUCUCCCUAGUCCUCCAAGGCCCCAGGGGAUCUGCGUGUCCAUUUGUACAUAUGCACACGUGGUCUCUUUUCAGAUAGAAUGUGGUGGUUAGCAGGAUGGGGCUGAAAUUGACCAUCUGGAUUUAUAUCCAGGCUCUGCCACCAACUAGCUGGGUGCCACUCGGUGAGUUACUCAACUCUUGUGAGUCGCGUUGGCAGAAUGGGGCUACUCAAGCCCUUACUUCAGAUAGUUAUUGUGCAGAUGAAAUGGGGUAAUGUGCAUCAAAGUCUUAGGGCAGGUCUGGGUGUGUCCUAAGCACUCAGUAAAGGGCACUGCUCUUCCUCAUACAAAUUUUAUCAUCUCCCCAGCUUAGUAAAGGAAGCGUGGGAGAACAUGGGCCCAUUUUACAGAUGAGGAAACUGAGGCUCCAAAAGAAAGGACUCAACUUGAGGGUCUACAUGGAGGCUCAGGAUGCACCCUUCACUCGGCUGGCUGUACCCCCAGAACCUGCUGAGAGCAGAAGUAGUGGGAAGAAGAUCUGGACCCCAACUCUGGCUGUGCCUCUAGGCAGUGCUGUGACCUAGGGAGAGGGUCUUGCUUCCCUGGGCCUCACUUUCUUCACCAGUCAAGGGAGUGAUUCUGCCCCGGGGAAGCCCCUGAAGUCAUCAGAACUCCCCACAUGAGCUCAGCUCUCUGCAUUCCACCUGACCCUCCUCCCCAGCCACCCUUCCCCAUGCUUCUUGGCUAGUUUUCAGGUUUUGUGGCCAGUCAGGAUAAACCUCAAGAAGCUUGGAAGCAUUUCACCAACCCGGCAAUGACAGCAGUUUAUGCAAUUCAGCAAACUUUCACCAGGGACUAUGCCAAGUGCUGGAGACACAGAGAUGAAUCAGUCAGUCACUGCCCGUGAGGCUCUCCACUCAGACGGGGAUUGGGAGGGUGGGGAGGGAUACCCGAGGCAUCAGCCAGGAGGGGGCUGGAUCAGCAAAGUGAGCCUACCUGGUGGAGGGGAGGGUUUGAAAGGAUCCUUUAGGGUAGCUAAUUUCCCAGUGACAGAGAGGGCAUUUAGGAUAGGUGGACACAAGAGAAAAAAGCCAGACAGGCCACAGAGCUACUGUUUGGCCCCAAGCAAUAUAUUAUAUGUCGGGGUUGGCAAACUUAUUCUGUAAAGGGCCAGGUGGUAUUUUAGGUGCUCCAGGCCAUGUAGUCACGGAUGCGACUGCUCAACUGGCCACUGUAGCUUAAAAGCAGCCAUAGACAAUAUGUCAAUGAAUGAGCAUGGCUGUGUACCAAUAAAACUUUAUUUGUUGACACUGAAAUUUGAAUUUCCUGUCAUUUUCUUGUGUCAUAAAACAGUACAGUAUUAUUUUGAUUUUUUCCCCCCAACCAUUUAAAAAUGUGAAAACAGGCCCUGUGUGUAUGUUCAUGCCUGUAACCCCAGAGCUUUGGGAAGCUGAGGUAGGUAGAUUGCUUGAGGCCAGGAGUUCAAGACCAGCCUAGAUACAAAAAUUAGCCGGGUGUGGUGAUGUGUGCCUGUAGUCCCAGCUACUUGGAAGGCUGAGGCAGGAGAAUCUCUUGAACCUGGGAGGCGGAGAUUGCAGUGAGCCGAGAUCACACCAUUGCACUCUAGCCUGGGUUACAGAGUGAGACUCCAUCUCCAAAUAAUAAUAAUAAUACCAGCCUAGGCAAAUAGUGAGACCCCAUCUGUACAAAAAAUAAAAAAGUUAGCCUCAGGUGUGGUGUGUACAGGAGGAUCCCUUGAGCCCAGGAGUUUGAGGUUACAGUGAGCUAUGAUUGUGCCACUGUCUUCUAAGGCCUGGGUGACUCUGUCUCUUAAAAAAAAAAAAAAAAAAAGCCAACCUGGGCCACAUAAUGAGACCCUGUCUCAACAAAGAAAAAAUUUGUCGGGCAGAUGUCAUGCACCUGUAGUCCUAGCUACUUAGGAGACUGCUGAGAUGGGGGGAUUGCUUGAGUCCGGGAGGUCAAGGCUGCAGUGAGCCAUGAUUACACCACUGAACUCCUGCCUGGGCAACAGAGUGAGCCACUCUAUCAAGAAAAGAAAAAAAAAAAAAAAAGGCUAGGUGCUAUUCUGAGCACUUUAGGAGGCUGAGGCGGGCAGAUCCAUUGAGCUCAAGAGGUUGAGACUAGCCUGGGCAACAUAGCAAUACCCCUUCUCUACCAAAAAUACAAAAAUUAGUCAAGCAAAGUGGUGUACACCUUUAGUCCCAGCUACUCAGGAGGCUGAGGUGCGGGGAGGAUUGCUUGAGCCCAGGAGGUCAAAGCUGCAGUGAGCCAAGAUCACACCACUGCACUCUAGCCUGGGUGACAAAGUGAGACCCUGUCUCCAAAAAGAAAGAAAGAGAGAAAGAAAGAAGGAAAGGGCCGGGCAUGGUGGCUCAUACCUGUAAUCCUAGCACUUUGGGAGACCGAGGCAGGUGAAUCACCUGAGGUCAGGAGUUUGAGAUCAGCCUGGCCAAUGCAGUGAAACCCCGUCUCUACUAAAAAUACACAAAUUAGCUGGGCGUGGUGGUGUACGCUUGUAAUCCCAGCUACUAGGGAGGCUGAGGCAGGAGAAUCGCUUGAACCUGGGAGUCAGAGGUUGCAGUGAGCCAAGAGGGCGCCAUUGCACUCCAGGCUGGGCAACAAGAGCGAAACUCUAUCUCAAAAAAAAAAAAAGUAUCUAGGCCAGUCAGUGGAAGUGUCCUUUCAAAUCCUGCUCCCCAUCCAGGGGUGACCACUCCCCAUCCAGGUGGGUGACUGUGAGUUCAGCCCCUUUCCAAUGCACACAGACAUGUACACAUGGGCACACACGCACCCACAAGCUUCAUUAUUCACACCACACACAGCUCAUUCCACACGAUGGUUCCGUGACAUGCUUCUGUCACUUAGCAUCUCCCCCGUGUCUUCCCAUCUCAGCACCUGGAUCCAUCCUCUUUGAUCUUUGUAUUGACCACCAAGCAUCACGUGGCAGGCUAUGCCACCCUGCACCCAGGCGGUCCCCUACCAUUGGGCAUCCAGGCUGCUCCCUUCUCUAGGCAAUUACCAGCCAUGCUGCUGUGACCCUACAACAUGCGGUUCUAACUCUGUGCACUGUUGCCAGCCUUUUAGUCAAAAAGAUUCUCUGAAGCAAAAGUGCUGUGUUAAAGGGCACAAGAACUGAAGUUUUGGAUCAGCGUGGCAUCCUGUAGCAGUUUCCUGUCUUGCUGCCAGGAACAAGCAUUGCAAACCCUCUGGGACCUGGGGAAGUCCUGUGGGGUGGUCAGGAACUGGGACCUCAGUGUCUCAGAUGCCCCUAGGAGACUCUAGGGCUCAGGCAUCACCAGGGUGGAC